rnacentral:tRNA from 1 species
AAGGAUGUCUUCACCAGCGGAUUGCGUGCAAUCUGCUACAGAAGACACUUAGCAGAGCCUAGUCAUAGGCUCACAACGCGGCCAGGCCGUCCUCAUAUCCCUUCACGUUACAGCGGAAUGCGAGCAGAGCAAUCUGUUCGGGCGUUCCUUGCGGGGCCUUAGCUCAGCUGGGAGAGCGCCUGAUUUGCAUUCAGGAGGUCAUCGGUUCGAUCCCGAUAGGCUCCACCAACCCUCUUCGCCUGAAGGCGGGGCGCGAGAAUGGGUCGG